UCCCUGGUGGCUCAAUGGUGAAGAAUCUGCCUGCCAAUGCAGGAGACACAGGUUCAAUCCCUGAUCGGGGAA
rnacentral:tRNA from 1 species